rnacentral:misc_RNA from 1 species
GUGAGUCAUCGAAUCUUUGAACGCACAUUGCGCCCGCCAGUAUUCUGGCGGGCAUGCCUGUUCGAGCGUCAUUUCAACCAUCAAGCCCCCGGCUUGUGUUGGGGACCUGCGGCUGCCGCAGGCCCUGAAAACCAGUGGCGGGCUCGCUGUCACCCCGAGCGUAGUAGUUACAUCUCGCUCUGGGCGUGCUGCGGGUUCCGGCCGUUAAACGCCUUAUUUACCCAAGGUUGACCUCGGAUCAGGUAGGAAGACCCGCUGAACUUAAGCAUAUCAAUAAGCGGAGGA